AUGUGGUAUCUUCGGAGGGGGGUGGUGCUAACCAAAGAUAACCUCGCCCGUCGCAACUGGCAAGGAAGUAAGAAGUGUAGCUUUUGUUCUCACGACGAGACAAUCAGACACCUCUUUUUCCAGUGCAAGUUUGAGCAUUUUACAUGGUCAAUCAUCAAAAUAACGUCUAAUCUAUAUCCACCAACAGGUGUUGCUAAUAUUUUUGGUCAUUAG
rnacentral:rRNA from 1 species